rnacentral:lncRNA from 1 species
GCCGAAUCACCAAGCAUUCCAUUCCCAAAUGCCCUUUCGUCAUCGACCUCAUUUGAAUCCCCAUCCGAGCUUCGAUUUCAACGAAGCAAACAAGGAUUCGAAGCCAUUAAAAGGUACGUCCCCUCCGUUCUAUAAUUUUUUACAUGCAUUGAAUAGAGAUUGAGGAAAUAGAAGCGAAAAUCAAAGAAGAAUGCGAUCUAAAUUCACCUUAAAAACUGAUUUUGAAUUGAUUUUUUUCAAUAUGCAUGUAUCCGUCCUCUUUUACAGAUUACUUUUGGCCUUUUAUAGCAAAGUGAAAUAAAAAUAAUAAUUACAAAAAUGAUUUUUCUUUUCUGUUAUUUCUCUAUUGCUGUGGCUUGUGGGUUUGUUGCAGGUAUAGCUGUGUGGAGAAACUGCUCAUGGGCAAUGACGUGAAGGCUUCCAGAAGUUUUACUGUUUGGGCUAUAUGAGCCUACCUUGGAAUCGGACGGUUGGAGGCUGGAAGCCAUUGCUGCGGCGUGAGGUGAGAUGGCUAGGGUUCCAGUUUCAGGAAUAGAAAAUCUAGACCAUUCGGGCUAGUUUUGGGAUUGGGCCUAUUGGGGUAUUAAUUCAUUCGGGUAUUGGGUUGGUGAUUUGGGUUUAAUGUUUGGGUCAGAUGUUAUUUGAGUUGUUUUAUGCAAUUGGGUCAUGGGCUAUUUUGG